rnacentral:rRNA from 1 species
CCCUUAGAUGUUCUGGGCUGCACGCGCGCUACACUGAUGCGCUCAACGAGUUUUAACCUUGCCUGGAAAGGUUGGGUAAUCUUUUUAAAACGCAUCGUGAUGGGGAUAGAUUAUUGCAAUUAUUAAUCUUCAACGAGGAAUUCCUAGUAAGCACAAGUCAUCAGCUUGUGUUGAUUACGUCCCUGCCCUUUGUACACACCGCCCGUCGCUCCUACCGAUUGAAUGUUCCGGUGAGCUCUUCGGACUGCGCGGUCUGCAGUUUCUGCGUUCCGUGCGGAAAGUUGCGCAAACCUUAACAUUUAGAGGAAGGAGAAGUCGUAACA